rnacentral:rRNA from 1 species
AGAGUUUGAUCAUGGCUCAGGAUGAACGCUGGCGGCGUGCCUAAUACAUGCAAGUCGAACGAGGUGCUUUUGUAGCAAUACGGAAGUAUCCUAGUGGCGAACGGGUGAGUAACGCGUUGGUGACCUGUCCCAAAGUGUGGGAUAACAGUCCGAAAGGAUUGCUAAUACCGCAUGUGGUCCCCGGGUUUAGAAACCGGUGACUAAAGGAGCAAUUCGCUUUGGGAGGGACCUGCGUCCCAUCAGCUAGUUGGUGAGGUAAUGGCUCACCAAGGCGACGACGGGUAGGGGACCUGAGAGGGUGGCCCCCCACAAUGGAACUGAAACACGGUCCAUACACCUACGGGUGGCAGCAGUAGGGAAUAUUGCACAAUGGGCGAAAGCCUGAUGCAGCAACGCCGCGUGCACGAUGAAGGCCUUCGGGUCGUAAAGUGCUUUUCUGCGAGAUGAGAAAGGACAGUAUCGUAGGAAUAAGUCUCGGCUAACUACGUGCCAGCAGCCGCGGUAAAACGUAGGAGGCGAGCGUUAUCCGGAUUCACUGGGCGUAAAGCGCGUGCAGGUGGUUCGGUAAGUUGGGCGUGAAAUCUCCCGGCUCAACUGGGAGAGGUCGUCCAAUACUACCGAACUUGAGAGCAGAAGAGGAAGAUGGAAUUCCCGGUGUAGUGGUGAAAUGCGUAGAUAUCGGGAGGAACACCAGUGGCGAAGGCGAUCUUCUGGUCUGUUUCUGACACUCAGACGCGACAGCUAGGGUAGUAAACGGGAUUAGAGACCCCGGUAAUCCUAGCCGUAAACGAUGUGAACUUGGCGUUGGUGGGUUAAACUCCAUCAGUGCCGAAGCAAACGCGAUAAGUUCACCGCCUGGGGACUACGGCCGCAAGGUUAAAACUCAAAGGAAUUGACGG